rnacentral:rRNA from 1 species
UGACGGGGCCCGCACAAGCGGGUGGAGCAUGUGGUUUAAUUCGAUGAUACGCGAGGUAACCUUACCUGGGCUCAAAUGUAUGUUGACGUAUUCUGAAAGGGAUACUUCUUCGGACAAUAUACAAGGUGCUGCAUGGUUGUCGUCAGCUCGUGCCGUGAGGUGUCGGGUUAAGUCCCAUAACGAGCGCAACCCCUAUCAUUAGUUGCCAUCAGGUCAAGCUGGGGACUCUAAUGAAACUGCCUACGCAAGUAGUGAGGAAGGCGGGGAUGACGUCAAAUCAGCACGGCCCUUACGUCCAGGGCUACACACGUGCUACAAUGGCCGAUACAGAGGGCAGCUACCUGGUGACAGGAUGCAAAUCUCCAAAGUCGGUCUCAGUUCGGAUCGGAGUCUGCAACCCGACUCCGUGAAGUUGGAUUCGCUAGUAAUCGCGCAUCAGCCAUGGCGCGGUGAAUACGUUCCCGGGCCUU